rnacentral:rRNA from 1 species
GACGAACGCUGGCGGCGUGCUUAACACAUGCAAGUCGAACGGAAAGGCCCUGCUUUUGUGGGGUGCUCGAGUGGCGAACGGGUGAGUAACACGUGAGUAACCUGCCCUUGACUUUGGGAUAACUUCAGGAAACUGGGGCUAAUACCGGAUAGGAGCUCCUGCUGCAUGGUGGGGGUUGGAAAGUUUCGGCGGUUGGGGAUGGACUCGCGGCUUAUCAGCUUGUUGGUGGGGUAGUGGCUUACCAAGGCUUUGACGGGUAGCCGGCCUGAGAGGGUGACCGGCGACAUUGGGACUGAGAUACGGCCCAGGCUGCUAAGGGAGGCAGCAGUGGGGAAUAUUGCACAAUGGGCGGAAGCCUGAUGAAGAAACGCUGCGUGCGGGAUGACGGCCUUCGGGUUGUAAACCGCUUUCGCCUGUGACGAAGCGUGAGUGACGGUAAUGGGUAAAGAAGCACCGGCUAACUACGUG